GAGCUUGCCCCUAAAGUUAAGGUGUCUAGCUGAUAAUUAGAUUAUUAAGGGUUAAAUUCCCUUCAAGCUCU
rnacentral:tRNA from 5 species